AGAGUUUGAUCCUGGCUCAGAUUGAACGCUGGCGGCAUGCCUUACACAUGCAAGUCGAACGGCAGCACGGGAGCAAUCCUGGUGGCGAGUGGCGAACGGGUGAGUAAUGUAUCGGAACGUACCUUUCAGUGGGGGAUAACUAUCCGAAAGGAUAGCUAAUACCGCAUAUUCUGUGAGCAGGAAAGCAGGGGAUCUUAGGACCUUGCGCUGAUUGAGCGGCCGAUAUCAGAUUAGCUAGUUGGUGGGGUAAAGGCCUACCAAGGCGACGAUCUGUAGCGGGUCUGAGAGGAUGAUCCGCCACACUGGAACUGAGACACGGUCCAGACUCCUACGGGAGGCAGCAGUGGGGAAUUUUGGACAAUGGGGGCAACCCUGAUCCAGCCAUGCCGCGUGAGUGAAGAAGGCCUUCGGGUUGUAAAGCUCUUUCAGCCGGGAAGAAAACGCAUGGGUUAAUACCCUGUGUGGAUGACGGUACCGGAAUAAGAAGCACCGGCUAAUUUCCGCC
rnacentral:rRNA from 1 species